UACGAAGGGGGCGAGCGUUGUUCGGAUUUACUGGGCGUAAAGGGCGCGUAGGCGGCGGACCAAGUCGAGUGUGAAAGCCCCGGGCUCAACCUGGGAGGUGCGCUCGAGACUGGUUUGCUAGAGUUCGGGAGAGGAGCGUGGAAUUCCCAGUGUAGAGGUGAAAUUCCGUAGAUAUUGGGAAGAACACCGGUGGCGAAGGCGGCGCUCUAGUACGGUACUGACGCUGAGACGCGAAAGCGUGGGGAGCGAACAGG
rnacentral:rRNA from 1 species